rfam:TPA: Bos taurus chromosome 15, whole genome shotgun sequence.
UCCCUGGUGGCUCAGAGGUUAAAGCAUCUGCCUGCAAUGUGGGAGACCUGGGUUCGAUCCCUGGGUCGGGAA